rnacentral:piRNA from 1 species
UAGAAAGCAUCCUGUAGGUGUUAAGCUAU